UUUAUUUCAGCUUAAAGAACUGAAAGAAAGACAGAAACAGCAACUGAGGCACAAGGCCCUUAAAAAGGGUCUAGACCCUGAAGCCCUCACAGGCAAAUACCCACCUAAAAUCCAAGUAGCCUCCAAAUACGAAAGGCGUGUGGACACUAGGUCGUACACUGACAAGAAG